ACUGGACAGGCCACACACACACACCCACUGUUUUUCAUAAAACUCGUCCUCAGGUAAGGGUGUGUGAGAGAAAGGGAAAGAGAGAGAGAGAUCGGGCAUGUCUUUUAUUGUGUUUCUCAGGAAAGGUGGAGUGUCUUUGUCACAUUUCUAGCUGGCGUCAUUCCUACGAGUCUGCGAGGCAGCACUCACAUGAAGAUUACUUUUCCCACAGAUGAGCGAGAGCAUUAAUCUGGAUACCCUCACUGAUAGAGGAACUUCACAUUCUUCCCCAACAUCUGGACAAGAACAAACUACAACUCCACAGCCUUUGUUUCAGGACACCAGGGCUGCAUUCUUUCAUCUUGAGUCCACACUUUUCCUUCAUUCCCUCCCUGUUUUCUGCGAUGACCACCCCUUCUGUUGUUCCCCGAGGCAUUGAACCCGGCCUGUCCACCUGUAGAGAGCUGCAGUGCAGCAGCCAUGGCACCUGUGUGCCUCCGUUGGGCGGAGGAACCGCCAUGGUGUGCGAGUGCGACCUGGGCUACAAGGGCGAGUUCUGCGACGACACCAUCCACGGGGCGCUGAGUCUGCCGCUGACCCUGGGUGUGCUGGGCGCCAUCGUUGGCCUGGUGAUCUUGGCGUUCAUUAUCGCUAAGCUCCAGCAGUAUCACAGGAAGAAAAGCAGGAAACGUGCGGCAGAGAAAUUUGCAUUUGACGUGGUUGUGUGAAGAGGUCAGAGAUGACGAUGUGUGACUCCAUGGAGCUUCUGAAAGCUGUUCUCCUCAGCGCUGAGCUUCCACCUAAAGUUUGACAUAGAUGAAACCAGGUACUCUUCCACCACAAUCCCCCAUCAUCAUCAUCAUCAUCAUUAUUAUUAUUGAUAUUAUUGUUGCUUCUUCAACUGUACGACUUAUACUUCAGCGUAUAUGAGGAACUCGUACUGAACUGAUGCACUGAACUUUGACUGUGUGUGAGAGACUUGAUCGGUCUGUGCCGUGCAGAACUGUCGUCGACACACUUCUGACAUUUAGCCAAAUAAGGGAACUGAGAAAAGGUUUCAUGCGCUUAUUGUGACGGAACUUAAAUGCUUCACCUUUUAGUUUUUCACUCAAUGAUGGACGUUUUAUGUCCACAUGCUUCGUUGAUAUGUUUGAAAACUACUGCACGUUAAGGGAAAAGUUCAUUUAGACGUUAUUUUCCUUUUUCGAUCAGGAAGGGAAAGCGUUUAAACAUUUUAUUUUUUUUAUUUUUUUUUUUUAAAUAAAAACAAUCGGCCCUUUGCACAGCAGCCAUUUUGAGAUGUUUCAGCAGGAAAAGCACAUGCGUCACUGAUGGUGACCGCGUAGAAGCUAAAAAUUUCGUUUACUGUGAUUCAUCUAAAUGGCUGCUGUGCAAAGUUGUUUGAAAAACACUUUAGGAAAUAAAGGUUUUACCUCUGCCACAGAACAAUCAAAUCUUUUUAUUCUUUUUAUUUAUUUUUGUAUUGAUUAAAAGUUACUUUUUAACUUAGUUAUCUUAUAUUAUAGCCUUAUCAAUAAAAUGUGCUUUAAUGACUUGAUCUCUGCAAACUGCAAAACUGCAAACUGUUUUUAUGAAACAUUAACUAGCUUGUAUAGUUGCGACUGCAUUAGCACUAACUGCACCAUUACCCUCCUGCAACCUUUAAUGGAUACUUUUUUCUUUCUUUUAUUUUCUUUUUAUUUUGCCUUUAGAAAGGCAGAGAGAACUAAAAGGAGUUCACAUGCAGGUUCUUCAAUCUGUGUUUACGGAUAUAAUUUGCAAAUAAAAUUUAGAUUUAAAAUCAGGCAGGACAGAAGAACAAUCCUUGUUUUUCCUUCCUAAUUUAUUUGCCCCUAUUUAAGCUCCGUACCAGUGCUGAUGCCUCAAAAAUGACUGGUCCUCACUGAAUAAUCCAGUAGAUCAAAGACUGUUUUUGUUGUUGUUGUUUUUUUGUACAAUCCUGACUGAAUUGCUGUUUUAUGUGCCUUUUUUGUAUCUAUUGAAGUUUUGUCAUUCUUUUGAAGAGUUUUAACUACAAUACCAUCCUUUUUAAGGAAUCGUUUUAAAAAAAAAAACUGAGAAACUGAAAAUCUACUGACGACUGAUUUACAUUUUUUUGACACUAUGGGCAGACGUGACCCAAACUGAUUAUCCUCAUUGAUCCUGAAUGACACUAGUGUUUUGUUUUAAUGUGCACUGACCAGUACUUUACUUUUAUUUCAACCAUCGAGAACAAACCGUCAACCAACCGAAACUAAAAAAGAAAAGUGCACACACACACACACCUUCUCGAAUCCUGUUCUGCUUCAUUUUAAAAUUCCUCUCCCGUCAUAGACGUUUGACAGGAAAAAAAUCAGCCACACUGUCAUUUCACUCAGCUAUACUUUAUGAAUGGGUUAUUUUUAAGCCGCUUUUGAGAUAGCGUCUAUUCAUGCUGCACAUUUCUGGUGACAUGCUGUAUUUUAAGUAGAAAAAGUAGAACAAGCUACAAUUAAUCUGCAGAAAAGCUCGUCUUUAUCAGUACUCUUUUGUUCGCGUAAACUGAAGUCAAUGUUAAUUUAUCAUAUUCCUACACUUAUUUCAAUGUACAGUUACACAUGUAUGAAUAAAAAUCACUUACGAACAUGA